GGUUUCGUACGUAGCAGAGCAGCUCCCUCG
rnacentral:piRNA from 6 species